UACAGAGGUCUCAAGCGUUGUUCGGAUUCAUUGGGCGUAAAGGGUGCGUAGGCGGCGCGGUAAGUCGGGUGUGAAAUCUCGGAGCUUAACUCCGAAACUGCAUUCGAUACUGCCGUGCUUGAGGACUGGAGAGGAGACUGGAAUUUACGGUGUAGCGGUGAAAUGCGUAGAUAUCGUAAGGAAGACCAGUGGCGAAGGCGGCGACCUGGGUUGACACUGACGCUGAGGCGCGAAAGCGUGGGGAGCAAACAGG
rnacentral:rRNA from 1 species